rnacentral:lncRNA from 1 species
GCAAUUUUGAGGUUAUUACAUAUGCAAAACCCAACGUAUUCGUAACAAAUAUGUGAUAAGAUUAAAGAAGGAAUAUUUCUAUGAACAUGGGAUAUACAGGUAUUUCUUCAUACUAUUUAUUUGGAUUGAAUUAUAUUGCUAAAUUAUGUAAAUUAAUAUUUUUGUGUAAUGUUGAGUUACUACUUUAAAUUGCUAAAAAAAUGUUUAAAAGACAAUUGGCUUGCUUUUAAUGGCACUCAACUCCAGUAUAAAGUUGUUUAAUAUAAGUUCAUAAAUUAUCUAAAAAUGUAUCUCAGACCCAUUAGGGCUUUCAACAAUUGAAAGUGCACAGCCUCUAGUUGUAAUGUGUCUGAUAUUUAAACUUAGAUAAAAAAUAAUCAAUGUAUUAUAUACACUUAUUCAGUUGGACAAAACCAACUGUUAUCCAUAAAUUUCUGAGCGCUUACAUUUUUAUGACAUCUCUUAGCACUUUCCCAAUAGAAAUUUUGUGAAAAUUUCUUUCAAGUGAUGCUUGAAAAUAACUUAUAAUUUGACAAUGUAUGGUUCUAAUUAAAAUCUAGAAAAAAAAACGUCACCCACCUGCCGAAAUAUGUGAAUUAUGAAAAUGCAGAUUAGAAAUUUCUUUCAGUAACUGAUGUUUAUAAUUAAGUUAACCAUUUGAAAGAUCUGAAUUAUUAUGAUUUCAGUAUUUUUAAUGUCAAAAAGAUAUGUUGAUAAUUCAGGGAAACUUAAAAUUUUUUCAUUUUUCUAUUUGAAAAAAUAAUUUUGAAUGGCGAACAGAAAAUUUGAAAGUACUGGUAGUAGUUUUGUUUAUACAGGAGUCAUUCAGUAAAUAAUCUACUUUAAGUAUUUACAAUACAUGAGUUCAAAAACUUAAAAUGAAUCAAACAGAUCAUAUUGAAAAAAUAUACAUUUCAAUUCAAAACCUUGGGUAUUAGCAUAUAUAAGAAACCCAAGUAAAAUGAUUUCACUUUUAGUGUAUCCAGUUAUUUUGCUUAGCAUGGCCAAGCAGUUGUUUUGUUAAUUGUAAAUAAGAUAUGUUUUGUAUUAAUAUGAUCCAAAUAUACAUUGAAACCUUUGAAAUCUACAAAUUUUUGUACAUACUGUUUUUCUCUGAGUGUAAAUGAUAUUUUUAUUAUGUAUUUGUUGAUUCUAUUAACAUAGUUUAUUUAUAUAUUUUAUUAUGAAGUUUUAUUUUUGUAUCAUAUUUCCAUACACUAUACAGAUUUUGUAUGAAUUCCAUAGAUUUAGGCUUAUAUCGGCCACUUUUGAAUGCAUAAAAGACAUUUCUUUAGUAAACAAGGCAUAUGUAAUGUGUGUCACAUUUAUUAUAUCCCUGCCUACUAAAGCAGUAGUAUAUUUUAAAGAGUGUUUACUUGUCCACCUCAACUUUUUAUCAGCUAUUUUUCUGACAGUAGAGAACAUAUUU